rnacentral:lncRNA from 1 species
UUAUAAAUGGUGUUUAUAGGCAGUGUCAUUUGGGAACUAGAGCAUUUCUGUUUUGCUGAAGCUUUUAAAAAAUUUUAUAGCAAGAUCAACCUUAUAAUGCCAAUAAAGGGAAUUUAAAAAAAAAAAAAAACAGAACAAAUGAAUUGUAAUGAUUGGUUGAACACAGGAGGAUGUAACAAGCCUUGUACUGAGAAUUGCUAGAAUGGAAGGGACUGUUAAAUGAUUUUUUUCUUUUCUUUUCUUUUCUUUUUCUUUUUUUCUUUUCUUUUUUUCUUUUUUUUUUUUUUUUUGACAGGCAGAGUGGACAGUGAGAGAGAGAGAGACAGAGAGAGAGGUCUUCCUUUGCCGUUGGUUCACCCUCCAAUGGCCGCCAUGGCCGGCGUGUUAUGGCCAGCACAUUGCGCUGAUCCGAAGCCAGGAGCCAGGUGCUUCUCCUGGUCUCCCAUGGGGUGCAGGGCCCAAGCACUUGGCCAUCCUCCACUGCACUCCCGGGCCACAGCAGAGAGCUGGCCUGGAAGAGGGGCAACCGGGACAGAAUCCGGCGCUCUGACCGGGACUAGAACCUGGUGUGCUGGCGCCGCAAGGUGGAGGAUUAGCCUAGUGAGCCGUGGCGCCAGCCUCUUAAAUGUUUUUAAAAGACCAUGAAAGCUGCCUACCGCUUGCUGGGUACGCCUCCAAGCCCACUGCUCUCCUUAGAGGAAUUCUUUGUGGUUAGGACCUUGUGCUUUCCCUUAUACAACCCACAGGUUGCAGUGCACAAGCUUCAGGGGUGCGAGUCAUAGACUAGAGUGUGAAUGGUUGCCUUGGAGUUGUGCAGGGCACACACUGCAUCACUUGAUGUGAUGGUUCUAAUUGUAACUGAGGGCAGUUAGGCACACCUGGAACUCUGCUCCAGGCCUUCGAUUGGGUAGGUGGGAAGUACAUUUAUUCUACUGCUUUCAAAUAACUUAGCACUGAAAAUGCAGACAAACAAAACACCCGGGAGAAUCUGAGUAUCCGUAUUUCCAAUUACACUGAACACACAUUCUUCACCCCCGUAAGUGCCAAUUUGUAUUAUUCUGAGUUCCACUGAAAUUGGCCCAAGCCCCUGGGGCACUUCUUGCCUAGUUUCACUUGUUACCCUGGGAUAAUUGGUUUAAAACUGAUUACUGGGUCACUAAUUAUGGGGCCUAUUGACAGUGUAUUUCAGCUUAGGGAAGCAAUUAAAAAGUUCACCCUAAUUAAUCAGGGGUAAUUAACAGGUCUUAAAUUUUGUCAAGAGAUUAAUUAUCAAGAAAUCCAGAACAAAUCAAUGUGCAUUCCAGGAGGGUGAGAGAGGACGAGGACGCAGCCACUGGAGCCGGCGGGUAUUUGGACUAUUCAUUCAUUCAUUUAAUAAAUAUUUACUGAGCACCUACA